UACGUAGGGACCAAGCGUUGUUCGGAUUUACUGGGCGUAAAGGGCGCGAUAGGCGGCUUAACAAGUCACUUGUGAAAUCUCCGGGCUUAACUCGGAACGGCCAAGUGAAACUGUCAAGCUAGAGUGCAGGAAGGGGCAAUCGGAAUUCUUGGUGUAGCGGUGAAAUGCGUAGAUAUCAAGAGGAACACCUGAGGUGAAGACGGGUUGCUGGGCUGACACUGACGCUGAGGCGACGAAAGCCAGGGGAGCAAACGGG
rnacentral:rRNA from 1 species